rnacentral:misc_RNA from 1 species
GGGAAAAGAAACUCCUUGAGAAAAAGACUGCGAAGGAUUUUACUAAGCAAACACAUCCACCAUAUGAUCAUUCUUAUCUAGAUAUCAACUACAUAGCAAGAAUGGUAUCGAAUGGAUCCCUUGAAUUAGCUACAACUUUAAAGGAAGUAAAAAGAAGGAAGUUUGAAAAAUGAUUUAUAAUAAGUCUGAUUAUGCCAGUGGAGAAAUGAAUACACAGAAAGCAUCAACCAGUCACUUGUAAUUAAAAAGACAUCACCUUCAUUGAGCAUAAAAGAUCUAAAGGAAAAACCCAGAAUCUCUAACUGAAUAGUGUACUA